UAGGGUUCUUGUAGUUGAAUUA
rnacentral:tRNA from 3 species